AGUGAACGCUGGCGGCAGGCCUAAUACAUGCAAGUCGAACGGAAACACAGUAAGAUCUUGCCCUUACGGGUGGCGAGUGGCGGACGGGUAAGGAAUACAUCGCAUUCCUCUUAUUCUUGGGGAACAUCGGAGGACAAGAUACGCUAACACCUCAUAUGUCCUACGGGAUAGAUCAGUAGAUCAUCGCGGUUUUGCUGUCACUAUUAGCCGGUGCCGGAUUAGCUAGUUGGGUAGGUAAGGGCCCACCAAGGCGACGAUCCGUAGCUGGCCUGAGAGGAUGAUCGGCCACACUGGAACUGAGACACGGUCCAGACUCCUACGGGAGGCAGCAGUAGGGAAUAUUGCACAAUGGGCGAAAGCCUGAUCCAGCAAUGCCGCGUGAGUGAAGAGGGCCUUCGGGUUGUAAAACCCUGUUAUUAGGAAAGAAAAGCAGCAGAUGUAUACACGCCUGUUCUGACGGUACCCAAAGAGAAAGCACCGGCUAACUACGUG
rnacentral:rRNA from 1 species